rnacentral:tRNA from 1 species
GGCCGGUAGUUCAGCCUGGAGGAAUGCUCGGGCGGCAUCCGAGUGGUCGAGGGUUCGAAUCCCUCCCGGUCCA